UCUUCUACCUCUGAUGGCUUUUUUAUAUCCCAGGAAAAGUAUAUCCAGGAUCUUCUUGCUCGUGCUGCUCUUACUGACGAGCGCAUUGUUGAGACUCCUAUGGAGCUCAAUGUUCACCUCCGUGCUACUGAUGGUGAUCCUCUCCCUGACCUGACGCAUUAUCGUCAUCUUGUUGGAAGUCUUGUCUAUCUAGCCGUCACUCGUCCGGACAUCUCUUAUCCGGUUCAUAUUCUGAGUCAGUUCGUCUCUGCUCCCACAUCGGUUCACUAUAGUCAUCUCCUUCGUGUUCUCCGAUAUCUUCGGGGCACGAUCUCUCACCAUCUAUUCUUUCCUCGCUCCAGUUCUUUACAGCUUCAGGCCUAUUCGGAUGCUACGUGGGCUAGUGAUCCUUCAUAUCACCGUUCACUUUCUGCUUACUGCGUUUUUCUUGGUGGUUCUCUCAUUGCCUGGAAGACGAAGAAACAGAUUGCAUUUUCCCGUUCGAGUGCCGAGGCUGAGUUGCGAGCAAUGGCUCUUUUGACGGCAGAGGUGACUUGGUUACGGUGGUUACUUCAGGAUUUUGGUGUUUCUGUCACU
rnacentral:rRNA from 1 species